CUUUAAUUAACUUAUAGAUAAAGUAUAUGACUCUUAAUCAUACAAAAGUAAAAAAUUACUAUUAAAGA
rnacentral:tRNA from 1 species